AACAGUGUGCAGACCUUCCUCCACCUAGACUUUUAUUUUCCCCUUACUUUCUCCCACCCACGGCUGCCGAAAGAGACAAUGUAGCCACCACACAGAGGCAUCCACAGGGAAUGGGGCUCAGACCUCAAUGGGGCUCAGAUCUUUUAGGGUCCUGCCGUGGACCCCAGGGUGUUCAGACUGUGAGCUCCCUACAUGUGGGCCCUUGCUGGUGCUGCCUGCCCCGUGACUCCAGCAGAGCGGGGCAAACCCCGAGGUGAAGGGACAUUGAGCCAGCUUGGGCACCCCAUGGGUGACUUGGGACCAGCCUAUUUUCUUUUGCUUUAAAGCUACCUGAUGAUUUGGAUGCUACAAAUGCCACUGCCCAGCACCUAGUUUCUCUUGACAAGUGGAGCCAAAAGCCUCUUCCUAUCAUGCGUUACAAGAGGCCCAGAAAAUAGGGAAUCCUGUAUGCCAGGACUCAGAGACGAGCAGUGUCUGUUAAAAGAACUGAUAAUUUAAAAAUAAUCUGAAGAGACUACAAGCAAAUCUUUAUGUUCCCCAAAUUUUAAAAAUAAAUGAAGGUGAGAAAAUUCUGAAGCCACAUCGGCACGAGAGGACGAACUGUGGCGGCAUCCGUGCUGGCCCAGAGGGAGCCUGUCAUCCCUAAGCUUACUUUAGGAGCAGAAUCAAGGUUUGGAUGAAAGCUGCCCCUCUACUGCGAAUCUCCUUUCCAAGUCCAUAUUGGAGCCUGGGGGUUAUUCCAAGAGCACCUCCUGACAUUAAUAUCUGAAAGAAAUUGAGAGGUCGUCUCAGCAUCUCGACAUGGAGCGUCACCGUUUAUAGUCCAAGAGACUUCUGGUGAGUCAGCGUCGCUUUCAUCCCGUGAAGAACAGGCGCUUCCUGCGCAGCGGUUUUUCCCGAGCUAAAGCGCAGCGAUGCGCAGUGGGGCAGCCACCUUCUCGCCCCGAAGGCUGCCUUUCCCAGCCUCCCUCGUAGCUGGGUGGAUCCCGUGGCUACACUUCAGCCAGUGACGUGUACAGAAAAGACUGUAUGGUUUCGGAGCAGUCUCUUUGCUAGGGAGGGUGUGGGCCCCUCUGCCCUUACUCCUCCCCACUGCCCAGAACGCCUGCGUGAUGGCUGCAGCUGCAGCAAUCUUGGGCGGUCCUGCAUCCCUGAGGAUAAGCAGACUCAGACCCAGGUUUGCCCUGUGGCUCUUCUGGGUUUGUCUGGGUCGGCACCUAAUCCUGCCUGACGUGGGCCGCUGUGGCCUGCGCUGGAGAGAAAGCUCCUUCCUGAAAGGCCGCAGAGUGAAACGGUAACGUGGUUAAGCUCUGUACUAGGGAAUUGAGGUGAUUGCCAUUUUUUCUACUUCUUAACUUUUUGUUAAUUUUUUACAGUCAACAAGCAUUACAUAAUAGACAUUAAAAAGGAAAACAAAAAAGGAAAUGGCAAAGGGCAUCAACAAGCAAUUCAGAGCCAGAAAUAUGCAUUUAGCUGCCAUGAAAAUAAUGUUCAACUUCUUGGGUUAUUAAAUGGAAACCAAAAUA